CAAGAAAGUUGACGAAAUGGAGUUUCAGAGUGUGGGGACCACAGGACCAUGGUCCCGCUGUUGGGGACAGAGGCGAGGGUGCAAACGUGGCAAUCCCGUGCUGGGGACACAGACAGCCCUCUGUACAGUAUCCGGGAGGAAUGGCAGGAACGGCACGCUGGACAGGAGCGGAGGCUUGAGCCGGAGCCACGUGGAGCUGGCCGACGGGUCUCUGGGAUCUGGAUGUGCUGAUGGUGGCUGAGUGACCAGACCAGAGGGGCAGUUGGGCCUCUCCUGGAAUUCCUCGUCCCUAGGAUGGCGUGGUCAGCACCUCCUGCAUCCGCCUCCUCCAAGCCUGACGUGAUGGGGCCGUCCAAGUGCCGCGUGCGCGGAUCGUUCCUUUGCUUUUAUUGCUGAGUCGUAUUUCAUUGCACGGAUACGCUGCGCUUGUUUAUUCAUCAGUUGAUGGACAUUUGGGUUCUUUCCAGAGCUGGCUGUUAUGAAAAAUGCUCUCACGAGCAUUCGCACAAAAGUUUUGUGUGGACAUAUUUCUUCAUUUUUCUUGGGUGGAUGCCUAGAAUGGGCGGGAUGGGUCUUCUGGUAAAUGUGUGUUUAGCCUAUUAAGAAACUGCCAAAACGGUCUCCAGUGUCUGCCUGCAGCAGCCAUCUGUGUGCUGCUUCCUCAGCUUACCUGAAGGUUCAUGAGUUUUAUCUUUCACAAACCCUCCUCGGCUCUCCGC